ACAGAGCGAAACUCCAUCUCAAAAAGAAAAAAUGUUGAUCUCUCCCAGAAACUCAGUCACAGACACACUCAGAACCAUGUUUAGUCAAAUAUCAGGGCUAACUUCUAGCUCAGUCAUGUUGACACAUAAGAUUAAGCAUCGCGAGACAGAGCUAU